AAACCAACCGGGAUUGCCUCAGUAACGGCGAGUGAAGCGGCAAAAGCUCAAAUUUGAAAUCUGGCCUCUGGUCCGAAUUGUAAUUUGAAGAAGCGACUUUGGGCCUGGCUCUUGUCUAUGUUCCUUGGAACAGGACGUCACAGAGGGUGAGAAUCCCGUGCGAUGAGAAGACCAGGUUCGUGUAAAGCGUUUUCGACGAGUCGAGUUGUUUGGGAAUGCAGCUCUAAGUGGGUGGUAAAUUCCAUCUAAAGCUAAAUAUUGGCGAGAGACCGAUAGCGAACAAGUACAGUGAUGGAAAGAUGAAAAGAACUUUGAAAAGAGAGUGAAAAAGUACGUGAAAUUGUUGAAAGGGAAGGGCUUGAGAUCAGACUUUGUUUUUCCAUGGCGCUCUUUCGGGGGUGUCCUCUGGGGCUACAGGGCCAGCAUGGGUUUUGCGGGCGAGACGAGGUUUCCGGGAAUGUGGCUCUGCUUCGGUGGAGUGUUAUAGCCCGGGGGACUGGUCGCCAUGCGGGACCGAGGACUGCGGUACUAGGAUGCUGGAGUAAU
rnacentral:rRNA from 1 species